AAAGGGGCAGAUAACAAGUUGGCUUAAAGUCGGAGUUGGCUGAUUCAAGGCAGGAAAGAAGGAAUACUGAGAAGAGAAAUAUAUGCUGACAUGGAAACCAGAAUAAAUGUUGGAUGUCGCAUCUCAAGGCGUGAAUGGGGAAGCCAAAGAUGUACUACUAGCCUUAUGGCAGUGUUUAAAGGAGGAGAGGUGAUUACACAAUCUUACUUUGAAGUCACAUGAUGAACUGCCUUUGUAGGUUAAGAUGAUAUAUUUGAAGAUUUGUAAUCUUUAUAAAGAUUUACAUUUCUCUUCAGACAACUCUAUUAACUAAGAAAAACAGCAAAAAAAAAAAACUUGGUAUUUAAACAGAAGGCUGACCAUAUUAAAGAAACUAAAACAAAAAUUAUUCAGUAAUUGUUU